GCAUGCACUUGGGGUUACCUCUCUGAAAGGGAACUGCUUAUCGGCCAUCUGUAUCUAGGCAGUGAGAACACUUGUGUCGAAGUCAGCAAAGCUGGGGAGAUCAUGAGACCCCUUGUCUCUAAGGAUCUCUAUCUGAUUCCCUUGCCUGACUCUGAAAAUCCAAGACUCCUGACCUGCCUUCAAUGCUCCUUUCACAACUAGCUGCCUGUCUUUGUUGACAUCUGUGGUCCUCUGUCCCCGUGCAUCUGUGGCUCACCUCCCGGACUCCCAGCGUUUCUAAAGAGUAUGGAACUGUCCUGGCUUCGUACAUGUUUGGCAGAAAGAUCUGCUUGCACCCGUCUUGUGAAGAUCAAUGGUGUCGGAAGGUCUUGGGUCCCAAGUAAAAAGUAAUCUGGUGACCAGCGAAUUUGGACUUCUGACCCUGUUUGGUCUCUUGCCUAAAUGUCCCCUUAUAAAUCUGGAAUGAGGUGACCAGAUGGUCCAAAUCACCCAGGACUGUCCCGUGUUUCCCCUUCCUGUCCCUCUCAGUCUGGUGUCUCGGAUUUGGCCCUGCGUUGCCCACUCCUGCUGGAUCUUGUCCAGUCGAGGGACAAAAACGUCUUGGUACCUUCCUGAAGAAUGGGAAGAAAGGAGAUUCUGGAAGCACAGAUUGAACCGCCGUGACAGAGGCUGAGGAAGCGGACGCCGGAAAGGAGUGCUCCCGCACCCACAGGAGCCCCGAGGACAGCAGGCACCGAAGGCUUGCGGGCCCAAGAAGGGGAGAAAUGCCAGCAAUGACCUCGAGCCACCCACCGCCGUCCCCGAGCCGUCCGCCCAGGACCACGGAACGGAGGACGCACAGUGGAUCUCACUCGCUUGGCAACUGCAAAAGCAGGAACAAAGGCCACAGAGGCUGAAGAAGCGGCAGGGGUCCGGAAGCUUUCAGGAUAACCCUGAGAAAAUCGCCUACUGAAUUACAACCAGUUUUGCCAACAGAUGUUGUGAGAAGAGGCCCCCGCUGGCUCCCAUCCCACCUGGAUGCCAUUCCUCGUGGACUUUGAAGAUCUCACCUCUGCCUUUCUGAGCAGGUUGUUCCCAUUUUGGCUCUGGUAGCUCUGCUUAACCUUCUCGAUGAGAAAAUGUUAACUUUUUUCAUCUCUGAGUCCUGGAUUAAACUGUCUUACCUGAAACUGGGUCAUUUUAGGCUAGAAGCCCUGCGAAACAUUGUUUUUUCUCAGGAGUUGGCAAGUUCGUGGCCCACUUGUUUCCUGUGUGAACGGGGGUCCACUUCUGAUAGUUGCUACCUGGCCUGGUCAGUGUGUCUCCUGGUAGGGUCCUCGGUGCUUUCCUUCCCCUAACCUGCCCCCAUCGCCCUGCCCCAGGUGAGACUCACGCAACGAUGGGGACCCUGAUUUAUGUAGAGCAGCUUCUUGGUGAGGACCCUCCUGGUGAGGACCGUAGUGGAUGCACUGUGGCUGGGUGUGUGAGAGAAAGUCUGGUCCGGUGGAACCGGGGUCUUUGUAAGAUGGGGGGUGGGGAUGGAAACGUGACUCCAUCCCAGGUAGCUUUCUCAGAAGCCCGCCCUCACGUCAGCCAUUCCCCUGGUUCCACCGUCACCCCCUUCCUCUCACCUGCUCCAGGAUAGUGUUUUUUUCUUGAUUCAGUGAAAAGUAACAUUGGUUGUUUUUUUCCUUAUUGAAAAGUGGCACAUGGUUAUUAUAAAAGCAUCAGACAUACAGACAAAAAAAAAAGAAAGAAAGAAAAGAAAAAAAAAAGAAAAAAGAAAAAAACCAGCCCCAAAUCCUACUUACCACAAAGACAACCAUUGGUUUUCUGUUAAAGAGCCUUUCAUAUAUAUGUGAUGCUAUACAUACCGACCUGCUCACACAUAUUUAAAUAUAUGUAUGCACAUAUAUAUAAUCAUAAGUAUAAAUGUAGCCACAGUGUCACAGUGCCACAUAUAUUCUUUGAUAACACACCUUGUCAUUGAAUGCCUUUUCAUGAGCAUUAGCUUUUUAUAUCAGCUUUUUUUAAUGAUUAAGUAAUGCCUUUAAUUACAGAAGAGACAACCGAGACCAGAAAUAUAAAGCAAUUUUCAAAAAAUGAGGGCACUAAGUGAUUUAGUAUAAGGGAACAAAGCCAAGUGACUACAACUCAAAGAAUACACAUCCUCCCCUUCUUUUUUUUUUUUUUUUUUUUUGCCAUGAGUUUCAUGGGUCUAUAGCAAUUGUAGUGUAAGAGUACUCAAUUAUGGAGCUAGACCAUCCUUUAUUUACCUAAUUUCAUGUUCCUUGAUGUUCAGGUUGUUUCCAAUUUUUCUCUGUUUUAGGCAGAAUUGGUAAUAAUGAACAUGGUUCUAGUUAAUCUUCAUAUGAUUAUUUCCUUAAGGUAAAUCUCCAGAAGGAGAUCAAAGGACAAUUAGUGAAGGUUGCAAAGACCUUGGAGUUUGGAGCCUGCACUAAUUGCUUGGCACACCCAAGUGCAUUAGAGCCUGGGCCACUGGGAAAGCUGCCUGUGCCCUUUCUUUGAUGACUUUAUAUAUCCACACUUGGGGAGCUCUGGCCUCCUUUCCCUUGCCCAGAACAGAGCAUACCCAUGAAUGACAGCUAAGUAAAGCAGAUGGCGAAUGAGGGAGUGGUGUCUCUCUGGGUUUGGUAUUGGGGUCUUUCUCGUGGUUCUUCAUUGGAUGCUGUGAAGUAGUCACUCAUUCAUUACCCAUAUAUGGAGCAGUCCUUGUUGCAAGGCAGUGAGCUGGAGGCUGAGAAGGCAGGGGUGAAUUAAACAGGGGCUCGAGCAUCCUUGGGAAGAUCCACAGCCUAGAGAAGGCCGAUGACUGAGAACACACACACACACACGCCAUAGCACAGCAAGAGGAAAUAUGUACAUUUGCUUGUACACUGCACAGGGGACAAUUUGGAACAAUGCAAAAGUCUCAAAGGAAAACCAGGAAACCACGCAUAAUCCACUGGCUCAUGCGUGACACCUGUCAUGUUUGAGGGUGCCCGUCAGGCUGGGACAUGUGCUUGUGGUCACCCUCCCUGGGUAGCACCUCCUCGAAGGCAUUGUCUCUGUGCCUCCAAAGACCCUGGCACCAGCUUAUCCAAUGUAUUCUGAAAUCUGUUAAGUCUGAAAUCCAAAGGGGAGGAAACAAAAUGAAAGGUAAAGGGAUUCAUGACUUAAACAAAGUCUCCAUGUUUUAUGUAUGUAGGAACACUUGCAUUAAUUCAUGUCCUUCUGCUUGAUGGAAACGUUUUCAAAUAUUUCAUUAUGAAAGUAACAAUCUCAUUUAAGAAAAUAUGGGAACUAGAGAAAAGGAAAACGGUCUUCCUUUUUUCAGCAUCCUACCCCAGGGCUGGUAGCAUUUUUGGUCUUCGCCCAGAAAAAUUUGUAUUAAGAUGGUGUGGAAGACAAGAACAGAGGCAUAUGGGAGUUUUUUGAGUUUUUUUUUCCCCAAUUUUUAUUUUUAAUUAAACAUGUUUAAUCAUUGAUUAUAUUCGCUUUGUUCAAAAUGUAAAUAGUACAAAAACAUAGAGACCGAAAGGCUUUAUGGCUCAGCCAUCUGGAUUCCUGGAGAUACCCAGUGCCAUCAGUUUCUUGCGACUCCUCCUAGAUUUUUCAUGCAUAUAAAACAAUGUAUGUAUAUAAAAUAUGAGUUUUUAAUGGAGGGCUUGGCAAUAUCAGUACUGAAUGUUCUAGGUUUAGCCUAAACUAUCCUUGAUGUUAGUGGCAGGCCUGGGACACAGGUGGAGAAGAAGAGAGAAAAGGGCAAAAGGGUGUGUGUGUGUGUGUGUGUGAGAGAGAGAGAGAGAGAGAGAAAGCACGAGAGAGCACACAUGCGUGAAUGAGAGUAGGUGGUUGUUGCUAAGGGAGAUAGUGCAGGGAGGAUGAGAAGCAAAGGGAAAGAGCAACCGUCCAGUCAUUCAUUUAUCCAACCAGUAUUUAUUGAGCAGCUAUUAUGUGCCAGGAUACUAUUCUAGACCCUGGAGAAUCAGGAGGGAACCAAGUAUUCCGUGUCCCUGUAGAUAUUGUUUGAAAAUGGAAGGUAGUAGAUUAUAAACAUUAUAACUAAGUAAAUUAUAGUCUGUUAGAAUGUGGUAAGUUAUGGAAAAAAAAUAAGUAGGAUGUAGGCGAUAGGGAGUUUCAGGAAAUAAUUUUGAAGUGAGUGGUCAGGGUAGGCUUCUUUGAGGAGGGGGCAUAUGUGUGAAGGCUUGAAGGAGGUAAGAGAGUGAACCCUGUGGAUAUUUUGGGAAGGAGCAUCCACAGCAGAGUAGGCAGUGCAAAGGCCCUGUGGCAGAAGUGUGAGGCUUGGAGGCAGUCAGCAGUCACCCUUCUGCUUCUCACCCCUGCCAAGUCUAUUCUUGGUGGCCUCUUCACUAAGGCUGGCUUUCUUCAGGUCCUGAAGAAGCCAGGGUCAGCCUAGUGUGUUCUAUCUACAGAGCUGAGAUACAUUAACCUUAGUUUUUCCUUCUUCUGAAUUUCGAUCCAAAUGUUUUAUUUUACUCUUUCUAAGGAUAAUUCUGUGGUCUGAAUGUUAAUUUAGUCCAACUAAGGAAAAGUUGGGUGUGGGGAGAAGUAGUAUUGUUGCAAUAGGAAAAGCAAGAUUGAGGUCUCAGGGGUCCUCCUCCUGAAACCACUGAUCCUGCCCCUUGUUUUCUAGCCUUUUGUAUUGGGCACAUUAUCCAUCCUCUCUGGUCCUUGGUUUCCUCGUUUGAAGUUGAAGGGGGUGUACUUAGAUAGCUUUAGGGCUGUACUCAGACUGUGUCAGCCACUGAGAUAAGAAGUGGUGUUGGAUGAUGUCUAGCAAUUCUGCAAAGGGAGGCAGGGAAGAUGCUGCCCGCAGAGGACUCUGUGCGCAUGCUAAUACGUGCCGCCACCCGAUUUCCCUCUUGGGCUAGACGAGCUCAGCUUCGCCCUUAAAAUAGAAUAUUCCAUCUGAGUCAGUCCCCAAUCCCUGAUGGUAACAGAGGAGACAGGGCCACACUGCUAAUUGCAUUCUUCUCCCUGUCUCCUUUAAGCCUGGAAAGGGUUGAUUUCCUCCAUGCCCCAGAGCCGCACUGAUACUCUGCUGGCGUGGACAGGGCCGUGGUGGGAUCUGGGGCUCCUCCUUUUGUUUUCUUUUGGCUUUAGAGCUUCCCUCCCCUCUUUGCUAUCAUCAGUUCAUGUGGCUGGAGGCUUUGAGCUUCCCUGGUGAGUUAGGCAGCGGGGAGGAGAGGGAGUGUGCCAUUGGCAUCGCUGUUGCUCCAUGUGGAGCAAGAUCACUCUGUGAAUUUAAAAAUCAGGAUGCACGUAAGAGGGUGUGGGGGCAGAGCUGGAGCCUUUAGCGAGUUCCUGUAGGAGGACAAUCCUAAACACAAUAAAAGACUUCUCUUUCACUCUUAAAGUGUGAGGCACCUUGGUUGUAGUUACUUGCUCGUCCAUUUCUCCGUUGCCCCUGGUUUUUCUUCCACUGCCCGUCUUCUGCGUCCUUGGCGCCUGUCCAACAGGGCAACUGAAGAGCUGCUUCUUCCCUUCCUGGAGUUCUCUUGUUUUGUUCUUCUGAUGGGGGCAUCAUGUUCCCUCGGCGUGGUGGGGUGGGGUGGGGUGGGACAUGCAUGCUCACACACCUGCAGCUGAAAAUGGAUUCUGAGAGGCUUAGUUUACUGAAAUCAACUUCUGAGCUACGUGAUUUUCCCAAUCCCUUUUAAAAUACGUAUUGUAUAUAAAAAUCCCUCUCUUACUUUUUACAUUUCAUGUGAUGCCCUUUGUCUCCAUCAACUGUUGUGGAGAGAAAUUUUAUUUGGAAUAUUCAUAACAAGUCUAUCGCUAAUUAUCACUUUAACAAUGUGUUAUGGAGUGUAUCCAUGCAGUCAUCUGGAAAGGCACAUAUGCCACGAAAUUUGGGAUUUGCUGUGUACUGUGUGUGCCCACUCUUAGUGUUUCACCAGAUCUUUGCUCCGGGAGGAAGUGGAGGUACUCUGUAAGGGAGAAUGGAGGACUGACCUUGUAGCCAAACGCAGGCAUCCCUCAGUCCUGUCCUCGUAGCAACAAUUUCCAGGCUCAACCGCUUUUGAGUGUAAGAAAACCCUUCAUGUGAAACAAAAUCGGUCCGCACAGCGAAGCCCCAUUCUGGAAAGCUACAGAGAUGGGAUCUGAGGUCACCCCCGGCCUACGCCAGGUGGAGAGAUUCCAGACAGAUCUAAUCACAGGCGAAGAAGAGGACACUGGCCUUAGUGCCUUCCUGAUGCAGGCAAGAAGAGUGCGGCUCAAGUUGCCCUGGGAUUGGCAGAUCUGAGAAGCAAAUGCAAAGGAUCUUCAGCAUCUCCUGUCUCCUGAGGGGACAAGAAAGAAUGCCCAUUUCUUUCUUCCCGCUCUCUUUUCUCCUGGGAAGGAGAAUGAACUCAUGCUGAGUUCCCUCUUCGGGAUGCUCAGUGGGUCUGAGCCUGGGGAUGGGAUUACAUCAUCACAGGGGCCCUAGGAACUCUUCCACCUGGGGCUUCUGGAUGGAAGUGGGCGGAGCCCAAGAGGCCGCCAGCCAAUGAGGGCAAGAAGAAUAGGGCAGGGAUGGAGCAGAGCUCCUGGUCCAACAGCUCAGUACUGGUGCAGUUCUAAACCACAUGGCCUGUAAGGGGUGGGGGGGCUAGCAACGGCUCAGCUGGGAAGGACCUGCCAACCCUGGCUCCAUGGAAACUUGUGGAUCUCUGUGGGUCCUACUAUUAAUGCUGGCAGGGGAUUUGGGCUCAGUCUUUUCUGGGUAUCCUUGGAGUGUUCUGAGGGAGGUACUUUGGGCCACUGCAGAGUUGACUGUGUUUUAAUGAGCUUUUUAUAAAGAGUUCUUAUUGCAUCUGUAGCCUGGUUGACUAGCUGCCCCUCUAGAAAUGAUAACAGUAAUUAUUAUUUAUUGAGUACUUGCUAUAUGCUAGGUGCCUCAUUCAUCAACAGGUUACAUUAACAAGGAGCAUUAAUGGGGAGUUUACGAUGCAUCAAAGUCUCAAGCAUUUUAGAGAUUCAUGUCACAGGUAGAGAAGGAAGCUCCCACGGGACUCCUCAUUUACUUGGGAAGAAACUGAGGCCCAGAGUGUUAGCUAAGCUGUUGUAAGUGGCCCUGCUGGGAAGCCGCAUGAGGGAAGGAAACAGUUUUAGGACUGUCUUUCCACAGCGGUGUUCCUCUUUCCCACUGUAAAGCAGCAGGUUAAACAGUACCCCAAGGAACAAGUGAUGUGAAUGUCAAAAAGAUAGGGUGUUCCCUGGCUCUGUGUGGUCGGAGGAAGAUGCUGGCUCUGGACCGGGCUCAUCCGUGCUGUUCAGCGAUCGGCUCUGGGGCUUUGCCCCUGUUUAGGGUCCAUUGUGAAAAGUCGGUGCUGGCUGCUUCCUUAAGGACUUGAUUUAAUAAACCUUGGCUUUCUGACUG